rnacentral:rRNA from 1 species
UACGAAGGGGACUAGCGUUGCUCGGAAUCACUGGGCGUAAAGGGUGCGUAGGCGGGUCUUUAAGUCAGGGGUGAAAUCCUGGAGCUCAACUCCAGAACUGCCUUUGAUACUGAGGAUCUUGAGUUCGGGAGAGGUGAGUGGAACUGCGAGUGUAGAGGUGAAAUUCGUAGAUAUUCGCAAGAACACCAGUGGCGAAGGCGGGUCUCUGGGCCGAUACGUGACGCUGAGGAGCGAAAGCGUGGGGAGCGAACAGG